UACAGAGGGUGCAAGCGUUAAUCGGAAUUACUGGGCGUAAAGCGUGCGUAGACGGUCAUGUAAGUCGGGUGUGAAAGCCCCGGGCUCAACCUGGGAAUUGCAUUCGAGACUGCAUGGCUAGGAUGCGGAAGAGGGAAGCGGAAUUUCCGGUGUAGCGGUGAAAUGCGUAGAUAUCAGGAGGAACACCGGUGGCUAAGGCGGCUCUCUAGUACGGUACUGACGCUGAGACGCGAAAGCGUGGGGAGCGAACAGG
rnacentral:rRNA from 1 species